rnacentral:sRNA from 1 species
UAAACGUAAUGAAGUUGAAAAUGAUAAA